rnacentral:rRNA from 1 species
ACUUACAGAUGGACCCGCGGCGCAUUAACUAGUUGGUGAGGUAACGGCUCACCAAGGCGACGAUGCGUAGCCGACCUGAGAAGGUGAUCGGCCACACUGGGACUGAAACACGGCCCAGACUCCUACGGGAAGCAGCAGUAUGGAAUCUUCCGCNAUGGACGAAAGUCUGACGGACAACGCCGCGUGAUUGAUUAAGGUUUUCGGAUCGUAACAGUCUGUUGUUAGGGAAGAACAAGUACCGUUCGAAUAGGGCGGUACUUUGACGGUACUUAACCAGAAAGCCACGGCUAACUACGUGCCAGCAGCCGCGGUAAUACGUAGGUGGCAAGCGUUGUCCGGAAUUAUUGGGCGUAAAGCGCGCGCAGGCGGUUUCUUAAGUCUGAUGUGAAAGCCCCCGGCUCAACCGGGGAGGGUCAUUGGAAACUGGGGAACUUGAGUGCAGAAGAGGAGAUUGGAAUUCCCACGUGUAGCGGUGAAAUGCGUAGAGAUGUGGAGGAACACCAGUGGCGAAGGCGACUCUCUGGUCUGUAACUGACGCUGAGGCGCGAAAGCGUGGGGAGCGAACAGGAUUAGAUACCCUGGUAGUCCACGCCGUAAACGAUGAGUGCUAAGUGUUAGAGGGUUUCCGCCCUUUAGUGCUGCAGCAAACGCAUUAAGCACUCCGCUUGGGGAGUACGGUCGCAAGACUGAAACUCAAAGGAAUUGACGGGGGCCCGCACAAGCGGUGGAGCAUGUGGUUUAAUUCGAAGCAACGCGAAGAACCUUACCAGGUCUUGACAUCUUCUGACAACCCUAGAGAUAGGGCUUCCCCUUCGGGGGCAGAGUGACAGGUGGUGCAUGGUUGUCGUCAGCUCUGUGUCGUGAGAUGUUGGGUUAAGUCCCGCAACGAGCGCCACCCUUGAUCUUAGUUGCCANCAUUCAAUUGGGCACUCUCAAGUGACUGCCUGUGACAAACCGGAAGAANGUGGGGAUGACGUCAAAUCAUCAUGCCCCUUAUGACCUGGGCUACACACGUGCUACAAUGGGCAGAACAAAGGGCAGCGAAAGCCGCGAGGCUAAGCCAAUCCCACAAAUCUGUUCUCAGUUCGGAUCGCAGUCUGCAACUCGACUGCGUGAAGCUGGAAUCGCUAGUAAUCGCGGAUCAGCAUGCCGCGGUGAAUACGUCCCGGGCCUUGUACACACCGCCCGUCACACCACGAGAGUUUGUAACA